CCUACGGGUGGCUGCAGCCGAGAAUAUUCCGCAAUGGGGGAAACCCUGACGGAGCGACGCCGCGUGGAUGAUGAAGUCUUUCGGGAUGUAAAAUCCUUUUACCAGGGAGGAAGUUUUGACGUUACCUGGUGAAUAAGGGGUUGCUAAACUCGUGCCAGCAGCAGCGGUAAUACGAGUGCCCCAAGCGUUGUCCGGAAUUAUUGGGCGUAAAGGGUGUGUAGGCGGCCGCGUCAGUCCUCCGUUAAAAAUCCGGGCUCAACCCGGGAAGGGCGGAGGAGACGUCGCGGCUCGAGGACGGGAGAGGUGCGCGGAACUCACAGUGUAGGGGUAAAAUCCGUUGAUAUUGUGGGGAACACCGAAUGCGAAGGCAGCGCACUGGCCCGUUCCUGACGCUGAGACACGAAAGCGUGGGUCGCGAAUGGGAUUAGAUACCCCUGUAGUC
rnacentral:rRNA from 1 species